rnacentral:rRNA from 1 species
ACGCCGCGUGAGGGAUGACGGCUUUCGGGUUGUAAACCUCUUUCAGUGAUGACGAAAAUGACGGUAGUCACAGAAGAAGCUCCGGCCAACUACGUGCCAGCAGCCGCGGUAACACGUAGGGAGCGAGCGUUGUCCGGAUUUAUUGGGCGUAAAGAGCUCGUAGGCGGUUUCGUAAGUCGGAUGUGGAAACUCAGGGCUCAACCCUGAGACGCCAUCUGAUACUGCGAUGACUAGAGUCCGGUAGAGGAGCAUGGAAUUCCUGGUGUAGCGGUGGAAUGCGCAGAUAUCAGGAGGAACACCAACGGCGAAGGCAGUGCUCUGGGCCGGUACUGACGCUGAGGAGCGAAAGCAUGGGGAGCAAACAGGAUUAGAUACCCUGGUAGUCCAUGCCGUAAACGUUGGGCACUAGGUGUGGGGUCUUCUAACGGACUCCGUGCCGUAGCUAACGCAUUAAGUGCCCCGCC